AAGUGCUGGGAUUACAGGCGUGACCGCCGCGCCCAGCCGGGAUUGUAUUCUUAAUUUCCAUUUUGGAUAGCUCACUAUCAGUUUAUAGAAAUGGUAAAUCACCCUUUGUGGAUAAAGCAUGGGUACUCAGCAAUUAGGAAUAAACCCUUCAGCUAAUGUCUAAGUUGCUUUCAUUGUUACUUUAUCUGUUUGAUUUCUUGUCUAAAGUUUGAUAAUGGCAACUAACCCAUUUUUAAGAGAAAUUAAAAUGGAUAACAUGCAUGUGAUAUUCUGUGAAAAUUGCAUGACUUCUUUUAAUUAAUUUAAGGAAACUAUAGAUGUGUAGUUAGGGCUUUAAACCAAACUGGUGCAAUUUAUUUUCUGCUAAAUUACAAAGUUAUUUGAUUGAAUUGACAAGUAAUAUUGCUUUGUUUUAUUUUUAAUUCGUUACUGUGCAAAUUCACAUUUGGGGAAUGUAAGAUUAUAUAGGAAACCUUGAACCACCUUUAAAUAACUAUAUUUUUAUUUAUUAAGCCACAAACAGUUUAGUUAUGUUGUUAUGAGCAAAUAUAUUUACUAUUUUUUCUCUGCAAUAGGAAUAGAGAUUUCUUUUGCUCUUCUAUCUCAACUGAAAAGCAUAUGUUUUCUGGAUCACUGCCAUUGGCUCCUUCCAUAGUAUUUAAUAAAUAUAUGCAUUUCAUAGUGUUAGGCUUGUAUAAAUACACUACUAACUUCUCUUCACUAUAAAUGAACUUGAGCAACUCUCAUAUCUACAAUUUCUAGCACCAGAAAAGUGACAUUUUCCUUUAAGAUGGGUAAUAGGCCUUUUGAGGUCAUGGUGGAGUCAUAUACUCCCUUUUAUGACAAUUAUUAGCACCACGUGAGGGCAGAGAGGAAUGUAAAAAAAGUAUCAUUUCAAGUUACUAAGCUACAACCUGCCACCACUGAUGGCAUGUCCACUUACAGCUCACGAGCCAGCUCUUCAUCAAUAAGUGCUGCUUUGCAGUGGUUUGUAAUUGAAUUGUAUGAUGUAAAUGUGGAGACAGCCAAUCAUGAUGUUACAGGAUCUUUGGGGUGUCGAUUUUCUUGCCCAGAAACCUCUGUGGACAGUGGCAUCUUUGCCUGAGUUCUUGUCCUGCAUCCAGGAGGAAUGAGAUACCUGGGAGAGAGGAUUUUUCAUGUUACCAACACAAAGAAAUGAUAAAGUGCUUCCCUUGCAGGUGAAAUGGCCACCAGACCCAGGCUUUCUGGAAUGCAUUCAUUUUCUGCAGUUGAAAGGGACAAUCCCGGAUCUGAAAGAAAGAGCCACAGUGACUCCAAGAGUGGAGCCAGGGCAUGCUGGACACUGCAUAGCUAUGGCCACGUGUGUCACCUCUGAGGGAGAUGUGAGAGAAACGCAGAGGGAUCGCUUGUGACUGUGCCUUCUCGAUGUAUGAUGGACUGUUCUGCUCAAAUAGUAAGUGUGACCAAGGAGCCGGUGAACAUAGGAAACAAAGAAUAUUUCAUUUGACAUUAUAAGGAAUGCGACAAUUCUAGUCACUUGAAAGUGAACUAUAUCUGUCGAGAAUUCCUAGUUUUAAUUGGGAAGAAAUGCGCUUCUCUUCUUGAAAAGCCACAGGUUAUUGCUGUUAUGUCUAAUAUCAGUCCUCUCUGGAUUUCUCAAAAGAUUUUCUGUAUAUCCUACCAUUUUCCUUCUGUUGCUGCAGUUUGGAAGUAGUUUGUUAUCAGGAUUAUCAAAGCAUCAUUGCUAUUUAUGACAAUGACUUUAAGAAAUGCAAGAAUAUUUGGAACACUGUAGAAAAAAUAUUUUAGCCUGGAAGGCAAAUACUAAUUUCAGGAACUAUUGAUCUGUUAUAAAACAGGACCACUCAGACAUUUAGCUCUAAGACUUUCACAUAUCCGUUGUUAGAGGCGUAUAGUGGGGGGAAUGACUCAGCUUCUGCUUAAGUACAAGGUGUUGUCUGCAGCGAAGGAAGAAUUUGAUUGUAGUAUCAACAGAACCAGACAGAACUCUUUGAAUAUAAUUAUAUAUCUUGGAAACUGACUCAUCAAAGCUAUUAGAUUACAUGGCAUCAUUUAAGCAUCACUGGGCUCUGUACUUUUCAUUAUCUGUACUUUUCAUUAUGGAGUAUAAUAGGCUUUAUUUGGUACAGAAAUUGGGUCUAAGAUGAAACAACUUGUGAUUUUUGAAUAAACUUUUGGGGAUUAGUUACUUUGAUGUUGUCAAGAUAGCACCAUAGUAAGUCCUCUGUCUUUCCUCUUGAUUUAUUUAUAAUUUAGAAUCAGUUUAUGAUUUUAAAAAAUGUGACAGACACAGUGGCAUGCACCAGUAGUACCAGCCACAUGGGAAACUGAGGCAGAAGGAUCACUUGAUCCCAGAAGAUAGAGACCACCCUGGGCAACAUAGUGAGAGCCCCAUCUCAAAAAAAAAAAAUCAAUUCCCAAUACCAUUCCAGAACACUUUUAAUAUAACCAGAUGAAAUUGUGAUCACUACUUUACUGUAAUGUUUAAAAUGGUCCUCAGUCCAUAUUUAAGUACAAUCUUAGUGUUUCUGUGCAACCUAAUAUAUUAGAAACAAAAAUUGUAUUGCAUUUGAAUAGGAAAUACUCUGAAUUGAGGGUUAUUUCUUUUAACAGUUGCAAUUAGAUUGGUUAGUGACAAUUAUCUGUAAUUUUCAGGCAAUGCCUAGGCAAGUGCCCAAGGCACAGUAGCCUCCUCCUUGCCUCCGUGUGUGUGUGUGUGUGUGUGUGUGUGUGUGUGUGUGUGUGUGUGUAGGGUGGUAACAUUUCUGGGAAUUUGUCUUAACAUAAAAUGAUACCACCUUUCACAAAACGACCUAGAGGAAGUUGGAAAUCCCACUAUCCUGGCUUCCUGCUGAGCAAUAUCUGCUUCUCUUUCUGACUCAGGCUGAUGCAUCUGUAUACUUAGCUUCACUUCUCCAGUAAAUAAGGGAGAGCUUUAUUAUAAAAGACAACUUCUAUUGAUUUUCAAGGGGGUGGGUGGUUGUCAAGCUCACUCCUUUCUAUGCACUGAGGGAAAAUUAUUGUAAGCGAUCUGUAAAACAAUAGAUGAAAAAAGAGGAGAUAAAAAUUAAAUAAAAUUUAAAUAAAAACUAGGAUCCUAAGUGGAAAAAUAGCUUUAAAUUAGAAAUUGAUACCAAAAAAUAAUGAUAUGUAAUCUAAGGUGAAAAUAUUUUGAAGACUAUCACGAUAUCUCCCUUAAAUGUUAUUUAGUUCUGAAAAAUAUGUAUUGAAGAACUGUUAUAUUUUACUUUAUGUCAUAUUAAGUGUGGUAAAAUUAAAGAGAAACAAGUAGAUAAAAGUAAAGAUUGUAUUAUUAUUUUAUCACUCAGGUUAUUUCAAGACUGGAGACAUUCUUUAAAUAAACCUAAAUUAUGACUCCUUGCACUUAAGUUUUGCUAACAUAAAAAGUAUGUAUGAUUUCAGAGAUUUCUGCAUAUUUUGGAAUGAGCUCUUCAGUUGCUUGUAAUUUCCAAGAAGAUUACCCAUUUUACCCCUUAACUAAAACCCCUGUUCCUUUACUGCCUUGCUGCUUCACUUCAUGGGGAUAUGUCACUGACCAGAGAAACGAUCACAUUGAAUUUCUGAGCCACGCUGUUUUGUAUGGUUAAAAUAAGAUGCUCAAAGUAUGAUUUCACAAAUCACAUGGUUAUUGCCAUGCAAGGAGAAUUUGUUUUCUUAAGUUCACAAUGCUCAAAAAGGAGAAGAAUAAUGUGAACAAAUCUACAGGGAAUACACUCAAAAGAUGAGGCACAUUAACCACAGAGGGAGUGAGUUCCAAAUAUUAAAGUCUAGUUCCUGAAGUAGAAAUGGAAGCAGGCCUCUGUGGAAAGGCAAAUCGAAUGAAAGUUUGAGGUGCACCUUUUUUUCAAGCGAAUUCUCUGGAGAGAUGGUGUCUUGACACCAUGGAGAUCCUCAAAGACAUCUGGGGUCCCUUGACACCAGUGGGUGGUGCCAGUGAUGCAGGCGAGGCUUCAAAGCUCAGCUGCUGACAGGGUGGGGCUCUGUUGCUGCAUGAGUUCAGUCUUCCAAGAAUUGACUGGCAGGGCAAUCCUGUCACAGAAUAUGCUCUCCAUUUUUGGAGAAGUGGCUGAGACUUACUGAAGUUCUCAAAGUGUUCAUCGAGCUCUUAUGUUUAUAUGUAUUUUGAAAUCCAGUGGUUGAGGUCAGUAACUCACAUAUGAUGGGUCUGAUGAGCUUUGACAUUGCAUUCUUUUCCCCCCCACGAGACGGUGUCUUGCUCUGUCACCCA
rnacentral:lncRNA from 1 species